GAAAGUUUAGUUUAAAAUUUAAAAUAUUGAUUUUGUAAAUCAAAGAUAAAAAUCUUUCA
rnacentral:tRNA from 1 species